UACGAGGCUGGUCUGGAGGAUUCCUUUUUCGGGGAGGAGGUGCAGGUUCCUCCCCUUAUCUACGGAGAACAAUGAUUUUCCUGACUGCAAGAAGGCACAAAUCCACAAACCAGCCUCGUAGAAACCCACCAACUUCCAGAAAGUUUCAACAACUCAUAAAGAUUCUCAUGUGCAUGAAAACCCAAUCAACCUUUUUAGGAAAGGGGCCCCCAGACAGAGGCUGAAACCCAGUCACCCCAUCCCAAGGACAAUUCCCCAGCCAGGCUGGACAGCGAGGCCCCCUGAGCAAGCCCAGCUUUGCUGCACUGGGACAGCCCACCUCUCCUCCUCUUCCUGGAGGAAUUCGCUUGUGCAUUUCCCUGAUGUUUGGUGGAACUGAUGUCAGAGCAUCCGCGAGACGUCGUGUUCCCUGGACUGCACACUAAGAAGAAAGAGAUUGUCAGCUAACUUCAUGGAGAUGCACUGAGAGCCAAGCCUGAAGCAGAGGAGCUGGGGGGAGAGACCUUUGACACCAUUAUGGUCCAUGCCAUUGUUGUCGUCAUCUCUACAAACUGGUUCCCUCUACCCUGAGCAGGAGCCGCCAAUACACGGGAUGGUUGGAGGCAGACACCUGGGUCUCCUCUGGUCAAGUCAGGAGCUCUCAGUGACUCAUCUGGAAAAUGGGGAUAACAUCAGGAUGAGCUAAUCAAGGCAAACGCCAGAAAGCCUGCUGCCCUUGCGUCUCUGUUUCCAAUAUAAUUUUUAUGGCCUCCAAGAUGGUGUCUCUUGUAAUCUUUCUCUGCAACAGGCUCACUUUUCUCCUCAAAUUCCUCCGUGUUUGGCUAAGAACAAUCUGUUUUUCCUGAAUUUGUCAAGUUUCUCGAAAUUCCUAAUGCUCAUUCAUGUUCUUUCCGAGGAUUAGCAGAACACCCCUUGCUCGUCUUUCAUCACACUCCCUCUGCACACGGGCAAAAAUUAUACUUAAGUAGAACCCUGGCGAUCCAUGCCCAUAAAAUGGAGACUUUGGCGAGACUCACUUGCAUGGGGCAGAGUGGGAAUGAGGCCGAAAGGCAGGCCUGAGCAUCUUUAAUGACGUGCAGAAAGAGAGAGGCCUCUGCCCGCACAGGCAGAUGUGCACAGCUGUUAAUGGAAUAGCCCCUAAAAUUCCGACCAGCGCAGAGUAACGGAUACCCUCAAAUGCUUCCUAGUGGAGUUAAGAAUUUUUUGUUGAUCGUGCCUUUGAACUAAGGUCAUUUAAGUAUACAACAGAUGUUCCUCUGAGGGGAACAGACUUAUAAAGUCAGGAACACAGAAGGGACCUCAUGGUUUACUGGGGGUGGCGCACCAAGUUCAUAGCAGUUUAACUCCUUUCAAUGUUAAACAAAACAAUGACGCAAUUUUAUGCACAAUAAAAACCUGUCAAAAC
rnacentral:lncRNA from 1 species